UGUUCCCACCCCCUUGGCUGGUCUUCUCUGUGCCCAGACUGUGCCCAGCACAGUGUAGACACCCAGUAAGCAAUCCUUAAAAUACGAAUAGCUUGUGUCUGUCGGGCACUGCUGACUGGCCAGGCACAUUAUAUGACCCACCUCAUUUCAUCACGCCCACAGAACCUUGUCUGUUGUUACCCCUGUAUUACAGACGAAGAAACAAAGGCACACAGGGAGUGAUGUCACCUGCCAGAGUUACAGAGCUGGAAAGGAGCAGAGGCUGGAAUGUUCGAGAACACAGCAUCUGUGCUGAGACCACAAGGAGUGCCGGUUACUUAGAUGUCUCCGGGGGCAAACAGGGGGAUGACUUUUCCCAGCGGAAGGCAUCAGCAUAGAGCCCAAGGAGAAGAAAACAUUGGCAGAUUUUGGAGAGAUGGAAAUAUAUCUUGGAGUGAAAACUGAAUCGUCAAAGGAAAACGUUUUAACUUCUUGGGUAAGCUGAAAUGGAAGGAGAAUCAUCUUCAUAUGGGUAGACCACGGAAUUCAACAGAAGCUCAUUUGUUAACUCAAAUAGUCCAAUCAUGAUGCCUGCAGACAACUGCCCCUUAAUGACAAGGGCAUUAAGAAAAGCAAAGGGCGGGUAGGGUCGGUGAAACAUGCUUGGCCUCCACUUUCCAUGGAAGAGAAGGCUACUGCUGAAAUACAAGAAACUGACGCAGGAGUUUCCAAACUGGCCUAACUGCGUUGCCAAGGGCAUGAAGUCUGGAAGGGCCUUUGAGGGGCAUGUGACUACGCACCAUUUCCAGUGUAUACGCUGACUUUAGAACCUGACCUCUGCAGAAGAUCAGUCUCCACGGCCCCCACAGCAUACAGAAUUAUGCAUCCCCGUACCCGUAUAUAUUAAAUACCAUUUCCCGGUAGGUGAAACAACAGUUUCCUGAAUAAA